GAAUAUGAGGAGUAUUUUGAUGCUCGGAACACCGGUAGUCGAGGUGGAAUUCCACGUGUUUUCGUUUACCCUACCAGCGCGGACAUGGAAUCGAAAGCUUUCUCGGCAGGUUAUUUAAAAAAAUAUUACCUCGUCUAAAUAACGUGCAUGUGCUGUCGGUAAAGAAGCUUUUUUUUUGCGCGAAUUAACAUAAUAGAAGAUAUCGAAAAUAAAAAACUGUUAAAGGAAGAUCAAAAGUCGGCUCGCAGAAUCGAGGGGUAAUCUGAAGAGAAAAGCCAAAGAAAAAAUAAGAUCUUUGAUGAGGAGAUCAGGAUAUAAAAUAUCCGAAAUCCGCGGCGCUUCAGUUUCCAAUCGGUAUCGAGAUAGAUGUAUCGUGCAACGUAAACGACGUCGGACGGUCAAAAGAAAAUCAUCGAGAAGUACCACAGAGAAAAAGAGCAAAAAAGUGACGAAGAAGAAAAAGAAAAUUUGUGUUGAAGGAAGAAAAACCAAAAAAUCGCUAGGAAAUAUUGAGUCAAGAAACAUGACGUAUCCGACAUAUUCUCUUAAUUGAGAUAGGAAUUCGUGACUGGAAAAAAGCGUGUCCUUUCAUACUCACGAACGAAUGUAUAAAGAGUAAACUCGAUUUCUUCUCUUUAUCUCUUCCGCAAACUAGCAUUGAGAGUUUGCAAUAAAUUUAUUACAAACCCGUAACUUCGCUCGCGGACAACUCGCCCAUAAAAUUCGUCCCCGGACAUGGAGAAGACUAUCUGGAUCUUAUUCACACCAUAUUGAGCCUUUGCAUAGAAAGCGUAGAAAGCGAACGCGGAGAGAGCACAUCGGCCGCAUCCGAUGUCGUGGUAAGAGAAGACUCGUAAAUCAUUUACUGUAUUUCAUGUUCAAUCAAAUCGACAUAUAUUUCAAUCAAAAAUUCGUGCCGCCAUCAAAUAACAUUUACGCUUACUGCGCGUACAUCAAGGCGUUAUUACAUUAUGUUUUACCCACAAAAACUUCCCAUCUAACCUCUUGCUUAUGGGACGCAGAUAUUCCCGGUUAUAUGGACGACACGUUAGACUCGUCAAAUCCAAAUACGGCGCUCGAGAAACAUUCGAGGAAAUCGUACGCUAGAUCUCAUAGGUCACCGUCUGCGACGUUUUCAAUCAAAAUAAAAUUUUAAUUAACAGAGUGGAAAUUAGAAUGAGACUCAUGCUGUUUGGGAUCGAAAAGCAAUCGGCUAUUACAAGCUUAUAUGAAGCAAAUAUAGAAAUGAUGGAUCAUCCUAAAAAAAAGGAAAAAUAUGGGAUGUAAUAAGAAUUGGACUACUAAAGUUUGGAAUAAAGAUAUUUUUUUAUUAAAGAGGAUGUAUUACUUUCUACGUCCAUAAUAAUACAUCGACUUUUACUUCUAAAGGUUUACAUAACAUCAAAUAAUGAAGGAAUUUUAAAUGACAAAUGAUAAAGUCCGAUGGAAAAUCAAUAGUGAAAAGGUACAGAGAAGUAGUAGACAAUAAUUCAAAGUCGGGAAGGGCUUGCAUGGACUUGGAGUGGUAUAAGUAGUUGGAUGAAAUUUUAGAACCACGUGUCAGUACUGGACAUACUGUUUCAUCGAAAUUAUCAACAUCCGCCAUUUGUACUUCGACUUCUGAAAAAGAAUAUUCGAGUGAAUCCUCUUCAAUUCAGACCAAUCCAUCGAAAUUAAUUUUAUCGAAGAAUGAUCUCAUAAACUCAAACAUUACUAGCGUGAAAAAUCGUAAGCGUUCUUCUCAUGGAACAGGCUCCAAAACUGCAGCAACAAAAAUAGAACAGUGCCUACAUCAUUUACAAAGAAAAGAAGAACGUGAUCAUAUCACAGAUCAAAGAAAUACAGUGUAAGAUGACCAUUAUCUCGAAAAGAUGGUACAAGCCACGAUAAAGAUGGAUAUACUGAGCCUCGUAAUAAAAAAGUAUUACCAGGAAAUAAUACACCAUUGUCUGUAUGAUACAAUUCUGAUUUUCGAAAUAUAUGCGUAUCAUGGAGAGACCUGGACUCACCACAAUAUAUUUUUCUAUCCGAAUAUGAGUACCAUCGAUGGCUCCUAAGAUAUUUGAAAUUCCUUGCUUAGCACGAAAACCUUCAAUGGUCGUUAUUAUACGAUUUUGUUUUUGUGGCCAUUUAGUCACUACAUCUAAUUUCGUCAUCAACCAGGCUAUGACACGGAGAACACAAAUGAAAUAGAAAUUCCAAAUCUAUUAGCAAUAGUUCGCAGAGAUUUCGUAUUGGCAAUGUGGCAUAAAAAAAUUAAAAAACUCAAUUUUGUUGAAAUUGGUUUCUUUCCAAAUGAAUGUGAUGGAAUAAAAUUUGAUAAAUGUAGCUCAUCUGUAAAAAAUUUAUUUCGUACUUUAUAUACAGCAUGCAUUAUA